GGCGGCUGCCUAAUACAUGCAAGUCGAGCGGACUUGAUGGAGUGCUUGCACUCCUGAWGGUUAGCGGCGGACGGGUGAGUAACACGUAGGUAACCUGCCUGUAAGACUGGGAUAACUAGCGGAAACGUUAGCUAAUACCGGAUAAUUUAUUUUCUCGCAGGGGGAAGUAAUGAAAGACGGAGCAAUCUGUCACUUAUAGAUGGACCUGCGGCGCAGUAGCUAGUUGGUGGGGUAAUGGCUCACCAAGGCGACGAUACGUAGCCCACCUGAGAGGGUGAACGGCCACACUGGGACUGAGACACGGCCCAGACUCCUACGGGAGGCAGCAGUAGGGAAUCUUCCGCAAUGGACGAAAGUCUGACGGAGCAACGCCGCGUGAGUGAUGAAGGUUUUCGGAUCGUAAAGCUCUCUUGCCAGGGAAGAACGUCCGGUAGAGUAACUGCUACCGGAGUGACGGUACCUGAGAAGAAAGCCCCGGCUAACUACGUGCCAGCAGCCGCGGUAAUACA
rnacentral:rRNA from 1 species